rnacentral:rRNA from 1 species
CACGUAGGGCGCGAGCGUUGUCCGGAAUUAUUGGGCGUAAGGAGCUCGUAGGCGGCCUGUUGCGUCCGCUGUGAAAGCCCGGGGCUUAACCCCGGGUCUGCAGUGGAUACGGGCAGGCUAGAGGUAGGUAGGGGAGAAUGGAAUUCCCGGUGUAGCGGUGAAAUGCGCAGAUAUCAGGAAGAACACCCGUGGCGAAAGCGGCUCUCUGGAACGGUACUGACGCUGAGACGCGAAAGCGUGGGGAGCGAACAGG